GUAGUCCACGCCCUAAACGAUGUCAACUAGUUGUUCGGUGAGGAGACUCAUUGAGUAACGCAGCUAACGCGUGAAGUUGACCGCCUGGGGAGUACGGCCGCAAGGUUAAAACUCAAAGGAAUUGACGGGGACCCGCACAAGCGGUGGAUGAUGUGGAUUAAUUCGAUGCAACGCGAAAAACCUUACCUACCCUUGACAUGCCAGGAACUUGCCAGAGAUGGCUUGGUGCUCGAAAGAGAGCCUGGACACAGGUGCUGCAUGGCUGUCGUCAGCUCGUGUCGUGAGAUGUUGGGUUAAGUCCCGCAACGAGCGCAACCCUUGUCGUUAAUUGCCAUCAUUAAGUUGGGCACUUUAGCGAGACUGCCGGUGACAAACCGGA
rnacentral:rRNA from 1 species